UACGUAGGUGGCAAGCGUUAUCCGGAAUUAUUGGGCGUAAAGAGCGCGCAGGUGGUUAAUUAAGUCUGAUGUGAAAGCCCACGGCUUAACGGUGGAGGGUCAUUGGAAACUGGUUGACUUGAGUGCAGAAGAGGGAAGUGGAAUUCCAUGUGUAGCGGUGAAAUGCGUAGAGAUAUGGAGGAACACCAGUGGCGAAGGCGGCUUCCUGGUCUGCAACUGACACUGAGGCGCGAAAGCGUGGGGAGCAAACAGG
rnacentral:rRNA from 1 species